rnacentral:rRNA from 1 species
UGCGUAGGUGGCAAUUUAAGUUGGAUGUGAAAUCCCCGGGCUUAACCUGGGUGGUGCAUUCAAAAACUAGGAUAGCUAGAGUGCAGGAGAGGGGAAGCGGAAUUCCUAGUGUAGCGGUGAAAUGCGUAGAUAUUAGGAGGAACACCAGUGGCGAAGGCGGCUUUCUGGACUGUAACUGACACUGAGGCACGAAAGCGUGGGGAGCAAACA